AUUGAACGCUGGCGGCAGGCCUAACACAUGCAAGUCGAACGAGUGGCGGACGGGUGAGUAAUGUCUGGGAAACUGCCCGAUGGAGGGGGAUAACUACUGGAAACGGUAGCUAAUACCGCAUACCAUCGGAUGUGCCCAGAUGGGAUUAGCUAGGAGGUGGGGUAACGGCUCACCUAGGCGACGAUCCCUAGCUGGUCUGAGAGGAUGACCAGCCACAAUGGAACUGGUACACGGGCCAGACUCCUACGGGAGGCAGCAGUGGGGAAUAGUGCACAAGGGGCGAAAGCCUGAUGCAGCCAUGCCGCGUGAAUGAAGAAGGCCUUCGGGUUGUAAAGUACUUUCGGCGAGGAAGCGUUACUCACAGAAGAAGCACCGGCUAACUCCGUGCCAGCAGCCGCGGUAAUUC
rnacentral:rRNA from 1 species